UGCAGUGAUGCUCAUCGGGGUCCUGGUGGGUGCCUGUGUGGCCAAGCCCGGUGGCGGGCGGGAGGGCUCAGCCCUGCCCGAGGACAGCGCCGUGCACACCAUCUACUCCCAGGUGCAGCGGAGGCAGAGGCAGAAAGGAGCCUCCAUCACCGAGCACCCCUCCUGCAUCACCGACUACCCCGCAGGCACCAGCCAGCCCUUGGACACGGCCCC